rnacentral:rRNA from 1 species
GGACCUACGGGGGGCAGCAGUGGGGGAUAUUGCACAAUGGGGGAAACCCUGAUGCAGCGACGCCGCGUGUAGGAAGACGGUCCUCUGGAUUGUAAACUACUGUCCCCAGGGACGAAGAUGACGGUACCUGGGGAGGAAGCUCCGGCUAACUACGUGCCAGCAGCCGCGGUAAUACGUAGGGAGCGAGCGUUGUCCGGAAUUACUGGGUGUAAAGGGAGCGUAGGCGGGGAUGCAAGUUGGGUGUUAAAUCUACCGGCUCAACUGG